rnacentral:rRNA from 1 species
GCAGUAGCCACGGUAAUACAGAGGGUGCAAGCGUUAAUCGGAAUUACUGGGCGUAAAGCGCGCGUAGGUGGUUUGUUAAGUUGGAUGUGAAAGCCCCGGGCUCAACCUGGGAACUGCAUCCAAAACUGGCAAGCUAGAGUACGGUAGAGGGUGGUGGAAUUUCCUGUGUAGCGGUGAAAUGCGUAGAUAUAGGAAGGAACACCAGUGGCGAAGGCGACCACCUGGACUGAUACUGACACUGAGGUGCGAAAGCGUGGGGAGCAAACAGGAUUAGAUACCCGAGUAGUCCCUGUCUCUUAUAC